CAAAGAAAAAGUGUGAUUUUUCAAGGAAUCAAGUGUUUAAAGGUGGUGAGCUAUCUGAUACGGGUAAAAGACUACACCCGAGGACCGAGAAUAGGAGUAUAUCUACUCCUAGUACAGUUCAGAAUAGGCAGUAGACUGUCAAUUGCAUCGAGAAGU